GCCUACGGCCAUACCACCCUGAACGUGCCCGAUCUCAUCUGAUCUCAGAAGCUAAGCAGGGUCGGGCCUGGUUAGUAUAUGGAUGGGAGAAGAACACUUAGAUCCAGCA
rnacentral:rRNA from 1 species